rnacentral:lncRNA from 1 species
UUUGGUUGGUGAAAUUGGCACUAGUGUGGAUACACUAAGAGGGCUAGCCGAUUUCACUAAGAGAAAACCAAGUAUUCAUAUUCUCUAAAGUCUUCCAAGGUGUCUUGGUGAUUUGUGAUUCCACUUGAGGCUUCCACACUAUUGGGGCUAAGCUCUUAAAGCUUGAAGACAUCAAGCUACAUCAAAAGAGGUAUGUAUUCUAUCUUGCUAAGUCAUUGUUUUGUAUGCUAGAUUAGGAUAAUACCUUGGAAGUUCUUAUUUGCAUGUAUAAUAGAGAAAACAUAGAUCCAAGGUAUUUAGGGUUGCAUGUACACUUAGGAAGUGUUAGAAUGCUCAAAACCCAACAGUGGUAUCAGAGCCACGGGUUGUUUUCUGUUAUAUUGAUGCAAAUAUUUUAUUUUCAAAGUUGAAAAAAAAAAAAAAAAAAAACAUGAAGUUUGUCAAAUUUUAAGAUAAUUACUUGUUCUUGUGAAAAACUAAUUAUUUGUAAAAUUUGAAUAAUUUGCUUUAUGAGUUGAAUUAGGUCAAAUUUAAUAAAAGAUAAAAUAAUAUGAUUAUUUUAUUAGUUUUAAAAGUUUGAUCUAAAGAGUUUUAUUUUUUGAAACCUCCAUAAGUUAUGGAUAUGAAAAGGUUUUAAAAAAAAAAUUGAUUCAAAGUUUUUUUGGAGUUACAAAAUUUGGUGUUAAUGUUUUAAAGGAUUCCAUAACUUAAGAAUAAGUUAUGGAUCACCAAAAGUUUUUUGUGUUACCUUGUUUUAUGAGUGAAUUUAGAUUAAUGAAUAAAAUUAUGUGAUAGUUGGUUUUAAUCCAAAUUAAUCUAAGAAUUGAUUCUAAAAUGUGUUUUUGUAACUUGUCCUCAAGUUAUAUGAAAAGUCACAUUUAAGAAUCAUAAAACUCAUAAAAAUUGGCAAAGGUUACAAAAAUGAAGAGUCUAGUUCUAAUUAAAUGGUUUUAUGACUCCAUAACUUGUCCUCAAGUUAUGGAGGACCAAGAGUCUCUUCAUUUAAUAAAAUAAAAUAAAAAAAAAAAAAGUGUAACCUUAAUUAAUUCCAUAAGUUAUAAAAUAAAGAAAAGUUAAUUCUUUUAUUAGUUUAAAGUCUUCCAUAACUUGUCCUCAAGUUAUGGAACUUGAAGAGUUUUUGGAUUAAAACUACUUUAAACACAUAAGUUAUGGAAUUAAUUAGUUUUGAAUAGUUUCAAAACUUGCCCUCAAGUUUUGGAAUUUGUAAAGUUUUCACUUAUGAAUACUUUAAUUCCAAGUUAGCCCUUAGAAUUUUAAAAGUUAAAAUUCAACCCUUAUACUUUAUAAUAUUAUAAGUUAAUAAUAUAUAUAUGUAUAAGAGUAAAGUCAGUCUUACCGCUAGUACGCCUCAUUCACGAAGCCGGUCUAUAAGGUGGGUAUAAGGUUGUUGCCUAUAAAAUGGCAACUUAAUGGGUGUCCACUCUCACCCACCGCUUGCUUGACUGGUGGAGGGUCGUUAGCCGAACGGGUUUGACAGGACUAGAAUUCUCCCUUCAUUAAAAGUAUUAAUGAUAAUACUAAGUAACUAAACUCUUAAUAAUACCCAAUCUUAGUUACUUAGGAAAAAUGUGAAUAAGGUGCUAAUCCAUGAAAUUACACUUUACACUUUGUCUAAGUCGUUAGUGGAGCGUGUGUGGUUAACCGGCACACUAACUUGGACUUAACAAGGUAGGUAAAGGGUGACUUAAUAUUUAUCAUAGUAUCGAUGGAGCGUGUGUGGUUAACCGGCACAUCGAUUGAGGGGUAAUUUAUUAAGGGUACCAAGUGAUUUGCAUGGUUACUUCACACCUUGUUUUGUGAUCCUCGGCAUCCCAGUCACAAAACCUGAAGGGCACACUCGAGAUUGAAACAUGCCUUUGAACAGUUCAAUGAAUCUCAAAGAUCUAGGAGUUUCAAAACCAAUUAAAACCUAAUAAUACAUUUCGUUUAUCUUGGUGGAAAUUGGUGAAUCGUCAUUCACCUACCUUCAAAUAUUUUAUAGCUUGGAUUACGGCAUACCUCUUCUAAGUUAUAAAAUAGUUUGUUGGGUCCUAGCCUUAAUAUUUCAUAUUGGGUGUCAUAUUAAGGACUUUAAAUCAACUAUCUUGAAUAUCUCCCAAAAGAUGUCUGUAAUAGACACCUAUGAUCUUCCCAAAUCUAGUGAAACAAGGUUUCCUAAAUGAAGAUGAUGUCCUUUGGAAAUCAUACUUCUUUCACCUCCUCCAAUUAUUCUCCCUAACCCACAAGUUCUUGAAAAGUUUAAGGUCACUCAAGCCCUAUUGGCAAGGCAAGGUCUAGGUGUGAUCACAUCUUGGAGAUGUAGUCACAUAUUGACAAGCCGGGAGAGUUGGGUGUCAAAGUCUUGAGAAAGUUGGUGGUUCAAUCACUUUCUAAGUCACAUAGUGAGUUCCUUUGGGACACCUAUGAAACAGACUAUGACAAGACCCUUAAUGAUCUUAUCUAUUUGCUAAGAUCAACUUCCUAAAACUUUAUGGACAUUGACAAUGAUGACAUUGGAUAUCCAGUAAAGCAUUCUCUUCCCAAUGGAAAGGGAUCGGCCAUAGUCAACUCGGUUGACCAAAUGGUAAAGAGAAAAGCUAAGUCUGUGAUAGUCCCGUGUACCAUUAUCAAAGGGUCCAUAUGUUUAUAUUGCCAAAGGAAGGGGCAUUGGUUGCGAAGCUGCCAAAUUUACCUAAGGAUGUUAAAGUCAAUAAGUUUGACUCUACUUCAGGUAAAGUCCACUAUCUAACUCUGUUAAGUUUCUAUUCUGAGAUUCCUGAUACAUGAUGUGACUGGGUCACAUGGUGAUGUUUUAAGAAUCAAAGAAAAGUGAAGAAACUUAAAGAAAGAAUAUGCUGAAUCUGAUGGCGUAGAUGGAUUUCUAUCGCAUAGUUUGAAGAUCGGAUUCUUGAGCAACUUCUUAGGAGUUAUGAGAUAUUGCUUAGGAAUAGAUAACAACAAGUUUUCAUAUGGAUUGUAAGGAUAAGUUUUUCCGCAAAGUUUUAAAAUAAAAGAAAAUUUUUGAUUUUAUUUAUUUUAAAAUAUCCUUACAAUGGCAUUUGAGGAAAAAUUGUUGCUUAUAUGAUUCCAUUAAUAGCAAGAGUGGAAAUAUGAAAUUGAUUCUUUCAUUUGUGGUAAUGUCUAGAUUUACCAAAUAAGGAAAGAUUCUCAUCACCCAAGUUUCAAUUGGACCGGAACUUGGAAUCAUGCAAGUUGUAUAGCAUGAUGAAUGAGAACUUUCAAGUUUUGGAAAAUUAAGACUAAUUACUCGGCCACAUGGAUGUGUGAGUCAAGUAAAGGACUAAGGGAUCGAGUACACAUUCUUGUGCACUGAUUAAGUCCACCACAAAAGAUUGAUAAGACUAUUCGUCAUAGUUUACUAAAGCUCAGUAAAUAUGAUUAUACUUACAAGCUUAAGUGUAACUCUGAGACAUUGGAAAAGGUUCCAAUGUAUGGCAGAGCGAAUAAGAAGAAUCAAAUUAGGCAGAAGGAUAAAAGUUUCUCAAAUCUGAAAAGAUGGGAGAGUACUUUAGUAUCAGUUUUGUGAUCAUCUUAAUGAUUAAGAAACCAUAUCAAAAUUAGUUCUCUAAGGAAAUCUUAGUGCAUUCUUAUGACUAAGAAGAGGAACUUGAAUUGUUGAAAUGGUUAAAUCAAGAAGAUGAGUCAUACUUCGUUCCAAUACAAGUCUUAGAGUCAUACUCCAAGAUUGUAACUUGAGUGACAUGUCUUAAAGAAGGUUUAAAACACUUGUCAAAUGUAAGAGUAAAAGUUUUCUACUCUUGUACAUUUGAAAUUGGUAAGUUGUGAUGUUUUGGAUAAAACAAAGACCAACUUAGGCCAAUUGUGUGAAGUGUUUGUCUUGAUUAGAAUCCACACUAUCUCUUGGAUAUUUGACAAGGGAGUCUUAUAGGUCAAGAGGUCAGUGGGAGUCUUAAAAGUCUUGAAAGUCUCAAGAACUAAUCAAGAAUAAAACCUAAAGUUCUUCACUAGCACACAACUUGAGGUUCAUAACCUAUCGUGUUGACAUAUUCUGUGCCCAUUCCAGUUAAAGUUGGUUUUGCAUAUGAGUUCUUAGAGUUCUCAAUUUGUUGCACAACAACUUGGAAGCAAUGGUAGGCCCUUGAGCUGCCAGGUGGCAAGAAAUUAAGAUUGAGUUCAGUCCAUAUGAGUUUGGAUUUGUCAUUAUCCUUGUCUUGUGACUAUGGUUUUGACAAUUCACAUGGAUAAGAACACAUACACCAUUAAAUCUAAGUGUCAUAAGGUUUCUCUCCGAUUCAUGAAAAUGAUGGUGAGGAAACACUUUCACUAAGUAGAUUUUAGCUAGAUAGCAAUUGUGAUAUUUGCAUUCUCAAAGUCGUUAGUGGAGCGCGUGUGGUUAACCGGCACACUAAUUUGGACUUGUGAGAAGUGGCAAAAAGGUCUAAACAUUAUGAUUACGGCAUCCCUCUUCAUAAUUGUUUAGAUACACAAGUGUGCUAUCUAAGGGAAGGUGUAUGAUUUUGAUACAGCUUUAUCAAAACAAUCUAGCAUCAGAAAUCUGAACUUUGGUAAGAAAGUCAAUGAAGUAUUGAUUUCUAGAAGUCCAGCUGAUUUCUGAGUACAUGUCAAAGCUAGUGGGAGCAUAAGUGUUAUGCUAAUAAUCAUCAUGUUAGUGGGAGCAUGAUAAUUAUGAUAAGUAUUGCAAGUUAGCAAUGUUAAUUAUAGAAAACAAAAGUUUCAAUUGGGAAAAAGUUGUUUUGCUAUAAUUAAGGGAGAGGAAAUUAUACUUCAUCUCAAAUCUAUAAGCUUAGAUCGUGAGGUUUUAAUCAUUUAGUCAAGGAUAUAUAUGAAUUUCAUGUUGGAAUGGCUCAACAUAAGGAAAUUCUGUAUAUGGGUCCAUUAUUUGCGUUCUAAAAUUCGAUUAUGAUUACGGCAUCCCUUUUCAUAAUCUGAAUUAUGAGAACUUGGCAAAUUGAAAUGGAAAUAUUAUAGCAAAAGACUGGUUUAGUCUUUAUGUAAGACAUCAUGAAUCGUGUCCCAUAUGCUUCGGAUAUAGGAUCGAUUACAUGUGCUAUAUUCAUCCGUUCUAAAAUUUUCCAAAUGCCUGGGGCAUUAAGAAGGGAAAAGGUUUAGAACUGGAUAUGACUAAAAGGAUUAAACAAUUGUCGAGGACAAUCUAAGGUUUACCAAAGAUUGGUUGCUCAAGGACAGUUGGAAGUAUAGUGAUAAUUCUGGAAGGACCAUAUUGACAUAAUCUGUAAGGAGGCAACUCUUGUUCAGAAGUGAUAGUCAAAAUGGAAUCUGGAAAUGUUUCAAAGUUAGAAUUUUCAAUCUGUUUAAGAUUAGGAAACUUAAUGCAAGAAGGAUGUUUCCAAGGAGCUGAUCUCCUUUGGAAUACUCUGUAAUGAUUGUUGUCAAGUCUUUCUGACUUUGUGCAUAAUCAUUACAAGAGGAUCAAUGCAUAUAAGUUUAGAAUCUAACAGAUUUCAGUAAAUGGCAUGAAUUUGGAAUUCUUGCAUUUGCAGUAAGGAUUUGGGAGUGUGAAAAGAGAAUCAUUGAAGUUAUGUUCAAUUGAUCUAGUUCACAAAGUAAAGAUCAUAGACAAACAUAGUAUGCAUACUUGGUGUGUGGCAUGACUAGUGUUUAAGAAAACAUAGUGUACAUGCUUGGAGCAUGGGACAACUAUUGUUUUAAAUUCAAGAAUAAAGUUGAUAGCUGAAACAGUAUACAAUGAAUAAUGUGUAAUCAUAUGGUGAUAAAUAAAAGGUGUUUUAUUUAUGUUCAAAGGGUUGAUACCAUAUUGGAUUCAAUUAUUAUUGUGUUUCACUUUGCAUGUUUUGACUUCCCGAAUAAACUGGGUUAUUCUUCCGGAAUGACUAAGUUAUUCAAACCAUCCACAGUCGGUCAUAUGUUGGAAGUAGAUAUGAAUUAAGACUGUCAUGAUGGGUUGUAGAGGUCUAAGGUGUUGGACAAGGCUACAACAAUCAUGAGUGCUCAUAAGUUCUGAGUAUUGGAUUCAACCCGCGCUCAUUGGAAUCACUUCAUGGAUUUUAUCACGAGUGAUCAUGAGACGAUAAUAUCUUAUAUUCUUCAAACCUAGAGAUAUGAGUUGUUACUAUGAGUUGAUAGUACAUUGAUAGCACGAAAACGCAUUUGGUAACUCGGUGCUAUAAAACGUGCCUUUGUGUAUGAUUCAACAAGUAGUAGAACAAGCCAUAUGAGUCGAAGUUUAUCCGUUCCUUUUACCUUCGGGAUAAAAGCGAUAUCUGUGGGCCCCUCGAUGAUUUGAUGAUGACAAAUGGAAGUGCUCGGCCGGGCCAGGACUGAUUUGAUUUGUUCAAUUAGUCAGUCGUCAUAAAUCGGAAAUCGGGAAACAACAAAUGGACAGAGAGAAUGAUUAUAAUCCAUGUCUCAGUCCAUAUGAUAUCUAGAAUGGAGGAAUAUAUGAUCCCUUAUCUAAUGGACAAGUCACUGACAAAGGUCAGAGUUCAUCUACAAGGUCAGAGUUCGACAGAAGCUUUUGAGAGCUACGAUUGCCGGUUGGUUCCUGAAGUCAUACGCAAUAAUAGUUUUAGACUUAUCCAAGUGGGAGACUGUUGGAUUAAUGUCUAAGUCCAUAACUAUAUUUGGUAAGACUUGACCCGACCCGGCAUGGUCCAUUUGGGUUGCAUACCAUCAUGCACUUGAAUGAGAGAAAUAAGACACUUAUGGUUAUUAAUAUAUUAUAAGUUCUAGUAUAUUAAUAAUAAGAAUAAUAAGAUUAUUUAAUUAGUAUUGAUCAAGAAUUAAUCUAGGAUUAAUUAAGUGAUCAAAAGAAGACUAAUUAAAUAUAUGGGUUGAUUGUGUAAAUCAUCCAUACUUGUAUAGUGGGCUAAUGCUCCAUGGAUAAUCAAGUUGGGCUAAAACCCAUAGGAUGGUCCAUGGAUGCUCCAUGGUGUAUUUGUACCCAUGGAUCCAAGGAAAUGGAAAGCCAUGACAAUUAAGAGUUUACCCUAAUUGUGUAACUAUAUAAGCAUCUUAUUAUUGAGGAAAAAUCGGCCACUAGUAGUAUUCAAGAAAGGGCUAGCCGAUUUUGGUGAGUGUAGAAUUCUCUCAAGUCAUUCUAAGUGUUUUGAUGAUUGUGAUUCCAUUUGAGGUGUCACACUUGGGGCACUAAGCACUCAAGCUUCAUGAAGACUUUCUACAUCAAGAGGUAUGUAUUCUAUCUUGUUACAUUAUUGUUUUGUAUGCUAGAUUAGGAUAAUACCUUGGAAGUUCUUAUUUGCAUGUAUAAUAGAGAAAACAUAGAUCCAAGGUAUUUAGGGUUGCAUGUACACUUAGG